rnacentral:rRNA from 1 species
ACCCCAGGUCAGGCGGGACUACCCGCUGAAUUUAAGCAUAUCAAUAAGCGGAGGAAAAGA